AAAUGAAUUGACGGGGGCCCGCACAAGCAGCGGAGCAUGUGGUUUAAUUCGAAGCAACGCGAAGAACCUUACCUGGACUUGACAUCCCCUGAAUUACUCGUAACUGAGGAAAUCUCUUCGGAGACAGGGAGACAGGUGGUGCAUGGUUGUCGUCAGCUCGUGUCGUGAGAUGUUGGGUUAAGUCCCGCAACGAGCGCAACCCUUAUUAUUAGUUGCUACCAUUAAGUUGAGCACUCUAAUGAGACUGCCCGGGUGAACCGGGAGGAAGGUGGGGAUGACGUCAAAUCAUCAUGCCCCUUAUGUCCAGGGCUACACACGUGCUACAAUGGUGGGUACAGAGAGAAGCAAUACCGCGAGGUGGAGCAAAUCUCAAAAACCCAUCCCAGUUCGGAUUGCAGGCUGAAACUCGCCUGCAUGAAGCCGGAGUUGCUAGUAAUCGCAAAUCAGAAUGUUGCGGUGAAUACGUUCCCGGGCCUUGUACACACCGCCCGU
rnacentral:rRNA from 1 species